GCUCAGGACGAACGCUGGCGGCGUGCUUAACACAUGCAAGUCGAACGAAGCACUUUGAUCGAUUUCUUCGGAUUGAAAUUUUAGUGACUGAGUGGCGGACGGGUGAGUAACGCGUGGGUAACCUGCCUCACACAGGGGGAUAACAGUUGGAAACGGCUGCUAAUACCGCAUAAGCGCACAGUACCGCAUGGUACAGUGUGAAAAACUCCGGUGGUGUGAGAUGGACCCGCGUCUGAUUAGCUAGUUGGCAGGGCAACGGCCUACCAAGGUGACGAUCAGUAGCCGACCUGAGAGGGUGACCGGCCACAUUGGGACUGAGACACGGCCCAAACUCCUACGGGAGGCAGCAGUA
rnacentral:rRNA from 1 species